UACGUGGGGUGCAAGCGUUAAUCGGAAUUACUGGGCGUAAAGCGUGCGCAGGCGGUUAUGCAAGACAGAUGUGAAAUCCCCGGGCUUAACCUGGGAACCGCAUUUGUGACUGCAUAGCUGGAGUACGGCAGAGGGGGAUGGAAUUCCGCGUGUAGCAGUGAAAUGCGUAGAUAUGCGGAGGAACACCGAUGGCGAAGGCAGACCCCUGGGCAUGUACUGACGCUCAUGCACGAAAGCGUGGGGAGCAAACAGG
rnacentral:rRNA from 1 species